rnacentral:rRNA from 1 species
GACGAACGCUGGCGGCGUGCUUAACACAUGCAAGUCGAACGGAAAGGCCCUGCUUUUGUGGGGUGCUCGAGUGGCGAACGGGUGAGUAACACGUGAGUAACCUGCCCUUGACUUUGGGAUAACUUCAGGAAACUGGGGCUAAUACCGGAUAGGAGCUCCUGCUGCAUGGUGGGGGUUGGAAAGUUUCGGCGGUUGGGGAUGGACUCGCGGCUUAUCAGCUUGUUUGUGGGGUAGUGGCUUACCAAGGCUUUGACGGGUAGCCGGCCUGAGAGGGUGACCGGGCACAUUGGGACUGAGAUACGGCCCAGACUCCUACGGGAGGCAGCAGUGGGGAAUAUUGCACAAUGGGCGGAAGCCUGAUGCAGCAACGCCGCGUGCGGGAUGACGGCCUUCGGGUUGUAAACCGCUUUCGCCUGUGACGAAGAGUGAGUGACGGUAAUGGGUAAAGAAGCACCGGCUAACUACGUG